rnacentral:rRNA from 1 species
GACGAACGCUGGCGGCGCGCUUAACACAUGCAAGUCGAACGUGAAGCCCGGGCUUGCCCGGGUGGAAAGUGGCGAACGGGUGCGUAACACGUGAGGAACCUGCCCCGAAGACCGGGAUAACCCGAGGAAACUCGAGCUAAUACCGGAUGUCCUCAUCGGAUCGCAUGGUCUGGUGAGGAAAUGGAUUCCGCUUCGGGAUGGCCUCGCGGCCUAUCAGCUUGUUGGUGGGGUAAUGGCCUACCAAGGCAACGACGGGUAGCUGGUCUGAGAGGAUGUCCAGCCACACUGGGACUGAGACACGGCCCAGACUCCUACGGGAGGCAG